UCAGACAUAAAAGGUGGCUUCGGCUACCACUUACAGAUGGACCCGCGGCGCAUUAGCUAGUUGGUGAGGUAACGGCUCACCAAGGCGACGAUGCGUAGCCGACCUGAGAGGGUGAUCGGCCACACUGGGACUGAGACACGGCCCAGACUCCUACGGGAGGCAGCAGUAGGGAAUCUUCCGCAAUGGACGAAAGUCUGACGGAGCAACGCCGCGUGAGUGAUGAAGGUUUUCGGAUCGUAAAGCUCUGUUGUUAGGGAAGAACAAGUGCCGUUCAAAUAGGGCGGCACCUUGACGGUACCUAACCAGAAAGCCACGGCUAACUACGUGCCAGCAGCCGCGGUAAUACGUAGGUGGCAAGCGUUGUCCGGAAUUAUUGGGCGUAAAGGGCUCGCAGGCGGUUUCUUAAGUCUGAUGUGAAAGCCCCCGGCUCAACCGGGGAGGGUCAUUGGAAACUGGGGAACUUGAGUGCAGAAGAGGAGAGUGGAAUUCCACGUGUAGCGGUGAAAUGCGUAGAGAUGUGGAGGAACACCAGUGGCGAAGGCGACUCUCUGGUCUGUAACUGACGCUGAGGAGC
rnacentral:rRNA from 1 species